UAGAUUUCUCUAAUUUUUGUGCUAUUUUCACAUUUCCUGACCGGUGUGAGAAAAAUAUUUCUCCUCACUAGUGAAAAAUCUGUUCUCGGCAAAUGAUUAGUCGAAAUUUGAUUAUGACGUCAAAAUGUUUUGUUUUCUUCUCAAUUUUCCUAUUGUGACGUCAUGAAAAAAGGCGACCUUGCCUGAUGACGUCGCAUAUAAAGAGCACAAUUUUCUGAAAAUCUUUGAAAAAGAACGAUAAAAAGCAUUAGAGAAACAGAUUCCGACACUAUAACUCGUGUAUUACGAUAUUUCUCCACUCUCGACAGUUAAAUUUUAUUAUUUAAAGGGCUCGGCAAGCCUCGCGCUUUAAAUAAUAAAAUUUAACUGUCUCGAGUGGAGAAAUAUCGUAAUACACUUGUUGCAGUGUAAGAAUCUAUAUAUAUAUA
rnacentral:lncRNA from 1 species